rnacentral:misc_RNA from 1 species
CAACGUUAGGGUUUCGCUUGCGAAGAAGCUCUUAAGCGCCGCACGGGUUCACUGCUUAAAUUCUCGAAAACAUGGCUGCCCAAAUCAGUAAGAAACGAAAGUUUGUUGCAGAUGGUGUUUUCUAUGCGGAGCUAAAUGAGGUACUGACCAGAGAACUGGCCGAGGAUGGCUACUCUGGUGUUGAAGUUAGGGUUACUCCCAUGCGCACUGAGAUCAUUAUUAGGGCUACUCGAACCCAGAAUGUUCUUGGUGAGAAGGGAAGAAGGAUCAGGGAGCUGACAUCUGUAGUACAGAAACGAUUCAAGUUUCCUGAGAACAGUGUGGAACUCUAUGCGGAGAAAGUGAACAACAGGGGCCUCUGUGCUAUUGCACAGGCUGAGUCUCUGCGUUACAAGCUCCUUGGAGGCCUUGCUGUUCGGAGGGCUUGCUAUGGUGUCUUGAGAUUUAUAAUGGAGAGUGGGGCAAAGGGAUGUGAGGUUAUUGUGAGUGGGAAGCUCCGGGCGCAGCGUGCCAAGUCCAUGAAAUUCAAGGAUGGGUACAUGAUCUCCUCUGGUCAACCUGUCAAGGAGUAUAUUGACUCUGCUGUCAGGCAUGUUCUUCUAAGACAGGGUGUGCUUGGUAUCAAGGUAAAGAUCAUGCUUGACUGGGAUCCUAAAGGCAAGGUGGGUCCAAUGACACCAUUGCCUGAUCUGGUUACUAUCCAUCCUCCCAAGGAAGAAGAAGAGUACGUUCCACCACCAGUACUAACAGCCAAUAUUGAGAUUCCAGUUGCAUAAAUCCUGAAUGUGGACUAAAUAAGUCUGUAGCACAGGUUUGAU